rnacentral:ncRNA from 1 species
AUAGCCCCUUCGUACGAAAGGAGUUGGGUAUAUUGAUCUCUGGUUUACCUGUUGUUUAUGAUUUAUAUUACAUUGUAAUAUAACUAAAUGCUUAUACUUAAGUAUUGGAUCUCAUAGGCAUGGCAGGAAAGCUACAUCAGUUAAAGAUAAGUGUUGAAAGCAUCUAAACGCGAAGCA